GGUUAAAAAUUUAAUCUAGUGUACAGUUAAAAAUCGAUAUGGCUGAUGGAAUAAUCAGAUAAUAACACAUGGUAUAUCAAGCGUAUCUAAUAGUGACAUAAAUGGAUAAAAUCUUAGCAGUAAAAAUAAGUAAAUUUUUUAACA
rfam:Gossypium hirsutum cultivar TM-1 unplaced genomic scaffold scaffold755.1, whole genome shotgun sequence